rnacentral:rRNA from 1 species
GUGGGGAAUAUUGGGCAAUGGGCGAAAGCCUGACCCAGCAACGCCGCGUGAAGGAAGAAGGUUUUCGGAUCGUAAACUUCUAUCCUUGGUGAAGAUAAUGACGGUAGCCAAGAAGGAAGCCCCGGCUAACUACGUGCCAGCAGCCGCGGUAAUACGUAGGGGGCAAGCGUUGUCCGGAAUGAUUGGGCGUAAAGGGCGCGUAGGCGGCCUGGUAAGUCUGGAGUGAAAGUCCUGCUUUUAAGGUGGGAAUUGCUUUGGAUACUGUCGGGCUUGAGUGCAGGAGAGGUAAGUGGAAUUCCCGGUGUAGCGGUGAAAUGCGUAGAGAUCGGGAGGAACACCAGUGGCGAAGGCGACUUACUGGACUGUAACUGACGCUGAGGCGCGAAAGUGUGGGGAGCAAACAGGAUUAGAAACCCGGGUAGUCC